rnacentral:rRNA from 1 species
CACGUAGGGCGCAAGCGUUGUCCGGAAUUAUUGGGCGUAAAGAGCUCGUAGGCGGUCUGUUGCGUCCGCUGUGAAAACCCGGGGCUUAACCCCUGGCUUGCAGUGGAUACGGACAGACUAGAGGGAGGUAGGGGAGAAUGGAAUUCCCGGUGUAGCGGUGAAAUGCGCAGAUAUCGGGAGGAACACCGGUGGCGAAGGCGGUUCUCUGGGCCUUACCUGACGCUGAGGAGCGAAAGCGUGGGGAGCGAACAGG